GAACUGAAGAGUUUGAUCAUGGCUCAGAUUGAACGCUGGCGGCAGGCCUAACACAUGCAAGUCGAGCGGAUGAGAGGAGCUUGCUCCUGGAUUCAGCGGCGGACGGGUGAGUAAUGCCUAGGAAUCUGCCUGGUAGUGGGGGACAACGUUUCGAAAGGAGCGCUAAUACCGCAUACGUCCUACGGGAGAAAGCAGGGGACCUUCGGGCCUUGCGCUAUCAGAUGAGCCUAGGUCGGAUUAGCUAGUUGGUGAGGUAAUGGCUCACCAAGGCGACGAUCCGUAACUGGUCUGAGAGGAUGAUCAGUCACACUGGAACUGAGACACGGUCCAGACUCCUACGGGAGGCAGCAGUGGGGAAUAUUGGACAAUGGGCGAAAAGCCUGAUCCAGCCAUGCCGCGUGUGUGAAGAAGGUCUUCGGAUUGUAAAGCACUUUAAGUUGGGAGGAAGGGUUGUAGAUUAAUACUCUGCAAUUUUGACGUUACCGACAGAAUAAGCACCGGCUAACUCUGUGCCAGCAGCCGCGGUAAUACAGAGGGUGCAAGCGUUAAUCGGAAUUACUGGGCGUAAAGCGCGCGUAGGUGGUUUGUUAAGUUGGAUGUGAAAUCCCCGGGCUCAACCUGGGAACUGCAUCCAAAACUGGCAAGCUAGAGUAUGGUAGAGGGUGGUGGAAUU
rnacentral:rRNA from 1 species